rnacentral:rRNA from 1 species
AGCGAACGCUGGCGGCGUGCUUAACACAUGCAAGUCGAACGUGAAAUGUAGCAAUACAGAGUAAAGUGGCGUACGGGUGAGUAACACGUGGGUAAUCUACCAAAGAGCCCGGAAUAACCGGCCGAAAGGCUGGCUAAUACUGGAUAGUUCAAGCGAAAUAUAAUGUUUCGAUUGGGAAAGGGAGCUGGCAACAGCCUUCACUUUUUGAUGAGCCCGCGUCUGAUUAGCUAGUUGGUAGGGUAAUGGCCUACCAAGGCGACGGUCAGUAGCUGGUCUGAGAGGAUGAUCAGCCACACUGGAACUGAAACACGGUCCAGACUCCUACGGGAGGCAGCAGUGGGGAAUCUUGCGCAAUGGACGAAAGUCUGAUGCAGCCACGCCGCGUGAGUGAAGAAGGCCUUCGGGUUGUAAAGCUCUGUCGGAAGGGACAAAAACCCUUAAGGUUAAUAGCCUUAAGGCUUGAUGGUACCUUCAAAGGAAGCACCGGCUAACUUCGUGCCAGCCGCCGCCGUAA